rnacentral:ncRNA from 1 species
AAAGAUAGCCCCUUCGUACGAAAGGAGUUGGGUAUGUUGAUCUAUGGUUUACUUGUUGUUUAUAGUGCAAUAUUAUUGCCACUUACUUUUACUUAAGUAAGUUGUUUAUAGGCAUGGCAAGAAAGCUACAUCAAUUAAAGAUAAGUGCUGAAUGCAUUUAAGCGCGAAACUCACUUUAAGA